CAGUGGUUCAAUAAUCAAGUUAAUAGGGCCAAACUCUGAAGAUAAUCAUGUCAAUGUUAACGACUUUAAACAUCUUUUAUCGGAGAAGUUCAAGUUCCUCUAAGAGCACCAAUUCAUUAUCCUUCACAAGUGCAAAGGGAAUUGGUUGAAAAAGCAACAAAAACAAAAACCUUUAAAGCAGACUGAGAGGGAGACAGUGAGAGGGAGGAGGAGAGAAGUUGGUUCUGAAUCAAGCUUUUUGUCUAAAUAAAAUAACCGUUAGGGCCUGAUCUAGUAUAGAAAAGAUGGGUUUUUGGUUUUGUUUUUAAGUUUUGUUUUUAAUUUGCUGCAAAAAGGCUGGGGCCUGUGAGCCAUAGGUCUUUGAGAAUCUACCUUGAAAACAACAAAACAAAGUCAUCUUUACAUUCUGUGCCCUUAACAUCAUUCCUGUUUGAACAUGGUUUCAGGUAUAACAUCCAAUUGCUCCUGUUGGAAGGGACACUCUGCAUGUAAAUGGCAGAGACACUCUGGUUCACUCAAAUGUAUUGUUCCUGAAAGAAAGGAAGUGGUCUGCAGAGGUAAAGUUGGAAAAUGGUUGUUUACCUGUCAGCACCAGAGUCUAAAACUUACUACAUUGAAAUCACACCAAGCAUGAACAUAGGGUACCAUGUGCCAGAAAUUAGCCUGUUUCUGAUG
rnacentral:lncRNA from 1 species